GGAGAGUGGUAUACCAGUAAGAUAAAAAUUUUAUCCUAUAUGAUAGCUUUGCAUACAUGUGUGAUUGCAGUUGUAAGUUGUGACUUGCACAAUGAAAACAAGGUAAAACUGUGGUUUGAUGACAUAUAUCUUGAUAAGUGCUAAAUUUAAGUGAUUUUACCUAUACAUUUAAGUAUUUAUUGACUUAUUUUAUAAGUCAUUUGACGUAAAACUUUCAACUAUUUGUAAAUAUUAAUAUUUACUAGCAAAUUAGUAUUUUAACUAUUUUCACCUAUUUUCCCUUACUUUUGUAGGUUUUAGCUAUUAUAUAUUAAUUAUAUAAGAUACAUAUUAUUAUAUUAUGAUUAAUGUUUAUUUAUGUGUUAAUAGAUCAAAAAAGAAGUGCAAGGAUACAAUUACAAGUGGGAUUAAAAAGAAAAAGGAAACAAUGCGGUCCAAAUGGAAAAGAGGAGCAGAGAGUUAAGUUGCAAGUUGCAGACACCACCGUUUUGCUUUCUUAAUACUAAAGGAAUUGCAUACUUAAGUGAUAUAAAAAAAAAGCCUAUAAAAGCAUCCAGUGGUCAUUCAUUCACUCAGACAACACGACCAACACUAGAAACAAAGAGAGCUUCAGAACAAAACGCAGAGAGUGAGAGCGCGGAACAGACAGAGGAAACAAAGGUGGAUGCACACCAACUGUUCGAGAAAUCGACACUGGUGUUGUUAUUUCAUCUCUUUUCUUUUCACUUGUGUAAAGCUACCAUGGUAAUGAGUAGCUAAAGACACUUUUGUUUGGAUUAGGUGUAAAUUACUCUAUUAGUAUGUGUUUCUAUCGAUCAUGGUUUUAUAUAUGGUUUUAGUUAUCUCUCAAUAUUGAUGUUAUCUUUGUUUUCAUUGUUUUAAUCUUUGAUUUGAAUUGUUA
rnacentral:lncRNA from 1 species